rnacentral:rRNA from 1 species
CCUACGGGUGGCAGCAGUGGGGAAUAUUGGACAAUGGGGGGAACCCUGAUCCAGCCAUGCCGCGUGUGUGAAGAAGGCCCUCGGGUUGUAAAGCACUUUCAGUGAGGAAGAACGCCUGGUGGUUAAUACCCAUCAGGAAAGACAUCACUCACAGAAGAAGCACCGGCUAACUCCGUGCCAGCAGCCGCGGUAAUACGGAGGGUGCGAGCGUUAAUCGGAAUUACUGGGCGUAAAGCGCGCGUAGGUGGCUUGAUAAGCCGGUUGUGAAAGCCCCGGGCUCAACCUGGGAACGGCAUCCGGAACUGUCAAGCUAGAGUGCAGGAGAGGAAGGUAGAAUUCCCGGUGUAGCGGUGGAAUGCGUAGAGAUCGGGAGGAAUACCAGUGGCGAAGGCGGCCUUCUGGACUGACACUGACACUGAGGUGCGAAAGCGUGGGUAGCAAACAGGAUUAGAUACCCUUGUAGUC